rnacentral:lncRNA from 1 species
GGCUUCUGUCCAGGCUUCCGCUGCUUUCGCUGGCCGCCGCGGGUGGCCGGAGCCCUAAUGCUACCGAAACGACGGCGAGCGCGGGUCGCGUCCCCCAGCUCCGCCCCCUCUUCCGCGGCGCGCUUCCCGGGGGUCACUAUCUACCUGGCCGAGCCACACAUGGGCCGCAGUCGCCAGGCUUUUCUCACACGCCUGGCUGUCUCCAAGGGUUUCCGCGUCCUGAGUGCCUACAGCCCAGAGGUGACACACGUGGUGAUGGAGGGGACCUCAGCAGAGGAGGCUGUCUGCUGGCAGGAGCGCAAGACAUCGGCUCUUCCUCCAGAUUGUACCCGCCCAGUGCUUUUAGACAUAAGUUGGUUCACAGAGAGCAUGGCCGCUGGGCAGCCUGUCCCUGUGGAGUGCCGGCACCGCCUGGAGGUGGCUGUGCCCAAAAAGAAGAUGCCAAGCCCAGCAUGGAUGCUGCCCUAUGCCUGCCAGCGUCCCACACCCCUCGUGCACCAUAAUGCCAGCUUCUCGGAGGCUCUGGAGACGCUGGCAGAGGCCGCUGGCUUCGAUGGCAGUGAAGGCCGCCAGAUCUCCUUCUACAGAGCGGCCUCAGUGCUCAAGGCUCUCCCCAGCCCGGUCACAGCCCUGAGCCAGCUGCAGGGCCUGCCCCACUUCGGAGAACACUCCUGCAGGGUUGUCCAGGAGCUGCUAGAACACGGAGUGUGUGAUGAGGUGGAGAGAAUCCGGCUCUCGGAGAGGUACCAGACCAUGAAGCUCUUCACUCAGAUCUUUGGGGUCGGGGUAAGGACUGCUGACCAGUGGUACCAAAAAGGGCUCCGGACUCUGGAUGACCUCCAAGAGGAGUCCCACAGACUAACCCAGCAGCAGAAAGCAGGACUCCAGCACCACCAGGACCUGAGUGCCCUGAUCCUGCGGUCAGAGGUUGAGGCCCUGCAGCAAGUGGUGGAGGCAGCCGUGACGCAGGCCCUUCCUGGGGCCACUGUUACACUGGCCGGAGGCUUCCGGAGGGGGAAGUUGCAGGGCCACGACGUGGACUUCCUCAUCACCCACCCCCAGGAGGGCCAGGAGGCAGGGCUGCUGCCCAGAGUGAUGUGCUACCUGAAGGAGCAGGGCCUUGUCCUGUACCACCAGCACCAGCACAGCCAACAGGGAGACCUGACCCAGCAGAGCCACACCAUGGAUGCCUUUGAGAGGAGUUUCUGCAUUUUCCGCCUGCCGCAACCCCCAGGGGCUGCUGUAGGUGGCGCCCAGAAGCCCUGCUUCACCUGGAAGGCUGUGCGGGUGGACCUGGUGGUUGCCCCUAUCAGCCAGUUCCCCUUUGCCCUGCUUGGCUGGACUGGCUCCAAGGUAGGGAGUGUGCUGCAGGGGCUGGCCCUCGGAUCUGGGGCUGGUGGCUCUGCUGAGACGUGGUCACUUUUUCCCCAGCAUUUUGAGCGGGAGCUACGCCGCUUCAGCAGGAAAGAGAAGGGCCUCUGUCUGAACAGCCAUGGUCUGUUUGAUCCGGAGCAGGUGUGUUGCUGUGAUGGGAGGCCUGAGGGGUAA